AGGAUUCUUCAUUGUUGCAGUUUUACCGGUGUUUCUCACCGUGACAAGAUACGAUUGGGAUGUUACAUGUGGCAAAAAAAUGGGCUGCUCACGUUCAGUCAGGAGAUCAGUGUGGUUCACUCUCAUGUUAUUAGUCAAUGCUGUAAUGGUCUGUUUCUACAUCGUUGCUUUGGAAAAAGAAAAAGAUCGUAUUGGAUGGGCCUGUGUUAUUGUGUUUCUUCAGUUACUCUGGGCAAUGAGGGACUUCUUACACUCAUUUAAAUGGGGUACAGUAUUAAUCAUCAGCUCUGAUCAUCUUCUCGUUUUGAUGUUUUCCUACUAUAAACUCUAGAUUGAUGUCUUCAAACCCUUU